AAAAGUGAAAGACGGUCUUGCUGUCACUUAUAGAUGGAUCCGCGCUGCAUUAGCUAGUUGGUAAGGUAACGGCUUACCAAGGCAACGAUGCAUAGCCGACCUGAGAGGGUGAUCGGCCACACUGGAACUGAGACACGGUCCAGACUCCUACGGGAGGCAGCAGUAGGGAAUCUUCCGCAAUGGGCGAAAGCCUGACGGAGCAACGCCGCGUGAGUGAUGAAGGUCUUCGGAUCGUAAAACUCUGUUAUUAGGGAAGAACAUAUGUGUAAGUAACUGUGCACAUCUUGACGGUACCUAAUCAGAAAGCCACGGCUAACUACGUGCCAGCAGCCGCGGUAAUACGUAGGUGGCAAGCGUUAUCCGGAAUUAUUGGGCGUAAAGCGCGCGUAGGCGGUUUUUUAAGUCUGAUGUGAAAGCCCACGGCUCAACCGUGGAGGGUCAUUGGAAACUGGAAAACUUGAGUGCAGAAGAGGAAAGUGGAAUUCCAUGUGUAGCGGUGAAAUGCGCAGAGAUAUGGAGGAACACCAGUGGCGAAGGCGACUUUCUGGUCUGUAACUGACGCUGAUGUGCGAAAGCGUGGGGAUCAAACAGGAUUAGAUACCCUGGUAGUCCACGCCGUAAACGAUGAGUGCUAAGUGUUAGGGGGUUUCC
rnacentral:rRNA from 1 species